rnacentral:lncRNA from 1 species
CUAGGACAGCUGGGGCAGCUGGGGCAGCUGGGGCAGCCUGGGCAGUCUCCAUAUCUGCAGUUGGAGGGACUAUGCUCAAGCCAUACCAAAUUCCAGCUGACUGACCUUGAGUGAGUCUCAAAGGUCCCUUUUCCUCGGGUUUUCCUGAAGGACACAGCCCUCGCUACAUGGGUUCAUGGUACGGAUCCUGUAAGACAACAUGCUCAUAACAUAACAUAACAUAACAUAACAUAACAUAACAUAACAUAGCAUAAUGUAACAUAGCAUAGCAUAGCUCCUAAGAGCGGCUAGCACAUAUAGGAACUGAUAACUCGGUCCGCCCUGCUGCCUCCUGACUCUUCUGGAACAUAAGAUGGAAACAGAUGUUCCUUCCCAGUGCCCCGUGCCCUCUGUUCUCAUAACAGGCCUUUGAGGGUGUGGCCAGACUGAGAGAACUACUCCCAGCUCCCAGGAGAACAGAGCAAGCUCCAGGCAGGACAGACAGGAGGUCUGCUAAGACUGAGUGACCGAUCGGUAGGAGCAGCAGAACCCAGAAAUG